CCGACAGUUGUGCUGAGUGCAACCUGAAGUGCUUUGGCAGCUAGUUGUUGCGUGACACUCGUUUGGAUCAGAGGAACCAAAGUGUGGAAGUCUCUCCUGGCCCGAGCGUCCCGCACUGCCCUGCUGGUUUAACUGUUCUCUCACAAAGAGUAAGGAGGCUGUAGUUGCAACACGUCCGUUUAUCUGUGCAUCUGACAGAAUCGGCCCUCACCCUCCUGCUGUGAGAGGAUCCGGUUCCUCCACCAGCACAUCCUGGAUCAGAGGAGGGGGGUGGGCAGAGCCCUGAGGAGGUCUGCAGCCAGGAGCAGAACCAGAGGAGGAGGAGGAGGAGGAGGAGGGCGUUGUCAUGCUCUGCUGAUAUGGUA